UACGUAGGGUGCGAGCGUUGUCCGGAAUUAUUGGGCGUAAAGAGCUUGUAGGUGGUUUGUCGCGUCUGCUGUGAAAAUCCGAGGCUCAACCUCGGACUUGCAGUGGGUACGGGCAGACUAGAGUGUGGUAGGGGGAGACUGGAAUUCCUGGUGUAGCGGUGAAAUGCGCAGAUAUCAGGAGGAACACCGAUGGCGAAGGCAGGUCUCUGGGCCACUACUGACGCUGAGAAGCGAAAGCAUGGGGAGCGAACAGG
rnacentral:rRNA from 1 species